rnacentral:lncRNA from 1 species
AACACUUAGGCAGUCUUUUCCUAUAUUGCAUUCCUAGAUCUACCAGUAUGGAAGGAAGGUGCCUUCCUGAGGCACAUCGGGUUGGAUAAUGACCACGAGAAGGCAGAUCUCGCUGGAGAAAAUGCCCCAUUGUCCUCUCCCUUCCCCCCAAAAAUACUUAAAGAAGUUAAAGUGAAAGGAGAAGAGACCAUGCCUGCGGUAGACCCUACCUGCGGCAGACCCCUGCUGAGGCGGACCUUUGGAGCUUUGAAGGUAUACUUCUGGCCUUUCCCAGUUGACCACAGAUAAUAGAAGCCUUGGAAAAUGAAACUGCAGGACCAGGAAGCCCACUAUUCUCUGAUGCAAGGCCUUCCAUUGUUGGUGACUAUAACCAUUGGAAAGAUUUUGCUUCCCAUUACACCAAAACUUUCCUUCCUCAAAUACCACUCUCCUCCCAACACGUUUAAUUCUUCCACAUGGCAGCAGCCCUACGGAUACUUUUCUUUUCAUUAAAAAAUUUUUUUUGUUACAUUAAACUUCCAAGAUGUCUCCCUCUCUCCUUCCCUCCCCACCCCACCCUGGAGAAGGCAUCAGUUGACCAAAAAAUGUACACAUAAAACCAUGCCAUGCAUACUUCUCUUUAUCAGUUCUUUCUCUGGAGGUAAACAUUCAC